CCUGCCUGGGAGGGAAAACUGAACUCUAUAAAUACAGGAAACUCCAUGUGGUCUCCCUCUCCUGUCUCUCUUCUCCCUCUCCAGCUGGCACCAUGUGAAUCACUGAAUCUCGCUUCCUUCAGGAACUGGAAGGUCCCAAUUAAGUCACCCCAAAGCCUUUUCAUUUCCAGUCUGAACAAACCCAAUUGUCUGUCUUUCCUUGUAGGGGAAGUGCUCCAUCCCCCUAAUCAACUUGGUGAUCCUCCUCUGGACUUGCUCCAACAGGAGUGUGAACAGUUGCUGCAUGCUGGAGAAGAUAGGACAAGAACUGUACAAAUAUGAACUUGCCACAAAACCUCCACUUCAUCUCUACCCUGCAGGCCAAGUAUCUGCUUGGAGUAGGAAUCUAUCAUUAUCUGUUCCACCAUCAUGCUGGAAAUAGGAAAGCAUUUUAUGCUCACGGGUGCCUAAGGAUGCAAUCGACUAUUCAAAAGGAUUGGAAACCACCUCUGCACUGAGGAUCAGACACACAGAGAAAUAACAUGGAAAAUCAUAUUUAAGAGCAUGUC